GGGUUGGUAGUGUAGUGGUUAGCGUGAUGUCUUCUCACCUCAGUUGGCCUGGGUUCGAUCCCAGUCGACCUU
rnacentral:tRNA from 1 species